AAAUAAGAAGCGAAAUAUUGCAAUCAGUUUCGACCUGAAAUUAUGGCAUAAUAAUGUCCUUAUUUA
rnacentral:tRNA from 3 species